rnacentral:rRNA from 1 species
GGAGGAAUAUUGGUCAAUGGACGAGAGUCUGAACCAGCCAAGUAGCGUGCAGGAUGACGGCCCUAUGGGUUGUAAACUGCUUUUGUUUGGGAAUAAUCGACAUUACGUGUAAUGUUUUGCAUGUACCAUUCGAAUAAGGACCGGCUAACUCCGUGCCAGCAGCCGCGGUAAUACGGGGGAUGCGAGCGUUAUCCGGAAUUAUUGGGUUUAAAGGGUGCGCAGGUGGCUAAUCAGGUCAGUGGUGAAAAGCUAUGGCUCAACCAUGGUCUUGCCAUUGAAACCGUAUAGCUAGAGAGGAGACGAGGUAGGCGGAAUGUGUGGUGUAGCGGUGAAAUGCAUAGAUAUCACACAGAACUCCGAUUGCGAAGGCAGCUUACCAGGCUUUAUCUGACACUUAGGCACGACAGCGUGGGGAUCAAACAGG